UACGGGGGGGGCAAGCGUUGUUCGGAAUUACUGGGCGUAAAGGGCUCGUAGGUGGCCAACUAAGUCAGACGUGAAAUCCCUCGGCUUAACCGGGGAACUGCGCUUGUAACUGGCAAGCUAGAGUGUGGCAGAGGGGGGUGGAAUUCCACGUGUAGCAGUGAAAUGCGUAGAGAUGUGGAGGAACACCGAUGGCGAAGGCAGCCUUCUGGGCCAACACUGACGCUCAUGCACGAAAGCGUGGGGAGCAAACAGG
rnacentral:rRNA from 1 species